rnacentral:rRNA from 1 species
UACGAAGGGUGCAAGCGUUACUCGGAAUUACUGGGCGUAAAGAGCUCGUAGGCGGUGUGUCGCGUCGGCCGUGAAAACCUGCAGCUUAACUGUGGGCGUGCGGUCGAUACGGGCAUCACUGGAGUUCGGCAGGGGAGACUGGAAUUCCUGGUGUAGCGGUGAAAUGCGCAGAUAUCAGGAGGAACACCGGUGGCGAAGGCGGGUCUCUGGGCCGAUACUGACGCUGAGGAGCGAAAGCGUGGGGAGCGAACAGG